AACCAGAAAGCCACGGCUAACUACGUGCCAGCAGCCGCGGUAAUACGUAGGUGGCAAGCGUUGUCCGGAUUUAUUGGGCGUAAAGCGAGCGCAGGCGGUUUUUUAGGUCUGAUGUGAAAGCCUUCGGCUUAACCGGAGAAGUGCAACGGAAACCGGGAGACUUGAGUGCAGAAGAGGACAGUGGAACUCCAUGUGUAGCGGUGAAAUGCGUAGAUAUAUGGAAGAACACCAGUGGCGAAGGCGGCUGUCUGGUCUGUAACUGACGCUGAGGCUCGAAAGCAUGGGUAGCGAACAGGAUUAGAUACCCUGGUAGUCCAUGCCGUAAACGAUGAGUGCUAAGUGUUGGAGGGUUUCCGCCCUUCAGUGCUGCAGCUAACGCAUUAAGCACUCCGCCUGGGGAGUACGACCGCAAGGUUGAAACUCAAAGGAAUUGACGGGGGCCCGCACAAGCGGUGGAGCAUGUGGUUUAAUUCGAUGCUACGCGAAGAACCUUACCAGGUCUUGACAUCUUCUGCCAACUUAAGAGAUUAGGCGUUCCCUUCGGGGACAGAAUGACAGGUGGUGCAUGGUUGUCGUCAGCUCGUGUCGUGAGAUGUUGGGUUAAGUCCCGCAACGAGCGCAACCCUUAUUGUUAGUUGCCAGCAUUCAGUUGGGCACUCUAGCAAGACUGCCGGUGACAAACCGGAGGAAGGUGGGGAUGACGUCAAAUCAUCAUGCCCCUUAUGACCUGGGCUACACACGUGCUACAAUGGACGGUACAACGAGUCGCGAAACCGCGAGGUCAAGCUAAUCUCUUAAAGCCGUUCUCAGUUCGGAUUGUAGGCUGCAACUCGCCUACAUGAAGUUGGAAUCGCUAGUAAUCGUGGAUCAGCAUGCCACGGUGAAUACGUUCCCGGGCCUUGUACACACCGCCCGUCACACCAUGAGAGUUUGUAACACCCAAAGCCGGUGAGGUAACCUUCGGGGACCAGCCGUCUAAGGUGGGGCAGAUGAUUAGGGUGAAGUCGUAACAAGGUAGCCGUAGGAGAGCCUGCGGCUGGAUCACCUCCUUUCUAA
rnacentral:rRNA from 1 species